UACGUAGGGAACAAGCGUUGUUCGGAUUUACUGGGCGUAAAGGGCGCGUAGGCGGCGCGGUAAGUCACUUGUGAAAUCUCUGAGCUUAACUCAGAACGGCCAAGUGAUACUGCAGUGCUAGAGUGCAGAAGGGGCAAUCGGAAUUCUUGGUGUAGCGGUGAAAUGCGUAGAUAUCAAGAGGAACACCUGAGGUGAAGACGGGUUGCUAGGCUGACACUGACGCUGAGGCGCGAAAGCCAGGGGAGCAAACGGG
rnacentral:rRNA from 1 species